rnacentral:lncRNA from 1 species
GACUCUGAAGAACGGCGUGGGAUGGUUCCUUUCAAAUGCACUUGAGCAGCGGUCUCCAACCACAGGGCCACAGAGCUGGAGCUGGAUCUACCAUGAAAGACUUGUGAAUCCAGGAAGAGAGACUGACUGGGCAACAUGUUAUUCAGGUGGGAACAUCCAGUUGCAGGAAAACAAGCUUAACACGCCCACUGAUUCUACAUUAUGCUCCUACCUCCCGGCAGCCUCUCCAGGCCCAGAACUUUCUCCAGUCAGCCUCUACAGACCAAGCUCAUGACUCUCAAUGGCCUAUUUAGGCCCAUACCCUACGUCACGGCAGCCUCCGCAGAUGAGGCUACUGCCUCACAACAGCCUCCACAGGCACAGCUCCAUCGUUACAAUGGCCUCUUUAGACCCAGCUCCUGCCUCCCAGCCUUCUCUCCAGGCCCUGAACUUUCUCAGGUCUCCCUCUGUUGUCCAAGGCUGGAGUGUAGUAGUGCUAUCGCAGCUGACUGCAGCCUCAACCUUCCAGGCUGAAGCGAUCCUCCCACCUCAACCUCCCACG